rnacentral:rRNA from 1 species
GCUCAGAAACUUAAAGGAAUUGACGGGGCCCGCACAAGCGGAGGAGCAUGUGGUUUAAUUCGAUGAUACGCGAGGAACCUUACCUGGGCUCGAACGUAAGAUGACUGUAGGUGAAAGCUUACAUCUCUUCGGAGCAUUUUUACGAGGUGCUGCAUGGUUGUCGUCAGCUCGUGCCGUGAGGUGUCGGGUUAAGUCCCAUAACGAGCGCAACCCUACCUUUAGUUGCCAUCAGGUAAUGCUGGGGACUCUAAAGGAACUGCCUACGCAAGUAGUGAGGAAGGCGGGGAUGACGUCAAAUCAGCACGGCCCUUACGUCCAGGGCUACACACGUGCUACAAUGGCCGAUACAGAGGGCAGCUACCUGGUGACAGGAUGCAAAUCUCCAAAGUCGGUCUCAGUUCGGAUCGGAGUCUGCAACCCGACUCCGUGAAGUUGGAUUCGCUAGUAAUCGCGCAUCAGCCAUGGCGCGGUGAAUACGUUCCCGGGCCUU